ACAGCUCCAGAAUGAUUAGUCUCACACAUUCACAGCUCAGCUGAUUGGUUCAAAAACCUGGAAUGAAGUACUCAUGGCAAACCAACUGCCUUAGGAUGAAUGGGAAUUCUUAAAGAUUGCAUUCUGCAGUAGCCAAGUACUUUUUGGAGCUGCUAAACAUCUGACUUGACAUCUGAUAUGCUGCAGUUGACCUCAACACAGCUCACCCGAAUAAAAGGUGUGAUAACCGAGACGGGUCCAGUUCUGACUGAGGUUCAUAUGAAGGGACCCCAUGGCUUCCAGAUGUCACAUGAUGGCAAACAAAGAGAAAGUCCCGUGAUACAUCUGUGGGAAAUGUACUUCACAAGAGUUCAACCAUGAAUCUCUGCGUGCUUUCUCCAAUCAUCUAAGUGAGUGAUUUGUACAUUCGCCAGUUCAUUCAACUUCCCAUGAAAAUGUUUACUGAGCCAUUGCUAAUCUUUGUAAGCAUGGAUUUGCAGGAAUCACAGAGCUGAAGCUCUUCUUAGGAGAGAGGAUUAGAGGAAGAAUUCGAUGGCAUUCCAGAGGUGUUGCUGUAGAAACCGAGGACUUGGCCAAUGUAACGGUGUCAGCAUGCUGAAAUAUGAGACAUUGUAUAAAGAAAGCAGAAAAAUCCAGGGUUGACUGCAGUGGCCUUCAGAGUGGGCACAGGGUUUUUUGAAGGGAUUUCCAGUGAACUGCAGGUGUCGUGGCGCUGUGGGCUGUAUGGUACUAUUGUGAGAGGAACAAUGGCGCAGAAAGCUUGGGAACCACUGCUUUGCUUUGUUCUCGUCUAUUGUCUGUUCCCAGGAUGUCCUUCAGGAAAAUGACAAAAAGGAAGAGACUCAGCCCAGUGUACCCAAAACAAAGACUGGAGCAGCGAACCCAGAGCUUCAGCAACUUCAAAGCAGAAAUCUUUGCGGUUGAUGAGUUUACUUUAUUCAUGUCACUUCAAUGAUGUAUGAAGGCUUGGUUCCACAAAAACAAGGGCCUUUGUUGGAGAAUGUUAUCCCGGGACCUGUGAGGAAUGGGGUGCUCUAGUUGUGUCUUUCUGGCCCCCAUGAAUUUAAGUGACAUCUCUAGUGAAAGGCCAUUUCAGUGCACAACUGUUUUGCAGAUUUCUUCAGCACAAGAAAAUGAAAACCACACUGAACAGACACCGAAAUAGAACUCAAAGUGCAGGCGAAAGAAGCACUGUCAUUUGAAAACCCUGACAAAGCACGCCUUUAAACCUCUUUCCUGAAGCAGUCCAGUAACAUUUACACAGACAUCCCAAAAACAGUCAUUCCUGGUGAAAAAAUAUGGAGGCUUAUUUUGGCCACCAGACCUUCUUGUCAAACAGUGAGCAUGUGCACAUCCUCUCUCUUGAGAAGUGCUGACGUAACAACACGUUGACACUUCUCGUUCCAGCGACUGUCAGGCAUCGAAAUUGGCUAAGUCGCCUUCCCAUUACUCAGAAACCUGAUCCCAGGUCAGGUGUUGGAAGGGCGGACGUCAACCAGGGAAUUUAACAUGCUGAGGAGAUCUUGGCAGGACAAAAGUGUGUUUUCGGGAUGCUAAAGCAUCGACACUGUCACCCUUCUGCCUUGCAACUUUUAUAUGGGACGCGAAAUUGGGCCACGUAUGUGUUGACAAGCUGUAAAGUGAGAUCCAAAAGCCUUUUCCCCAGUGUGGCUGUAGCUUUAUUAACAUUCCAGUUGCAUUCUGGGAAAGCACAGUUAUUAAAGGCUACCCAUUAGUCGUGGAGGCAGGAGCCGUGGACUUUGCCAGUCAUGGCUGUUGCCUGGAGACGGCGUCUCCCGAGCAGCGGAAGCAGAUAUCAUGCGUACUGGGGUUCGGUGUUGGACAUGAGAGGGAGAACCAACACUAAUCCUCUUCCUGUUGAUUCCACUUUGGAUCCCCAAGCUGCCUCUUCCCACGUUGACACAAAUACUUGGGCUCAUGUGACAUCCUGUAUGGAAGAGGCGAACAAUGACGGACCUCACGUCAAGGCCUGGGAACUGCGCUGUGAGAGACGUACCAUCACACCUCAAACACAUCAAGCCAGUUCCGCUCUCGGCUCUUAAGUGUUUAGUGUCUCGUCACCAAGGUUCAUUUCCCGCAAUACUGGAAAGGAAUGUGUCAGCACUGAUUUUUUUAUUUUUUUUCUCUGUGAAUACAUAAAAUAGAAUACAUACAUAGUAU